rnacentral:rRNA from 1 species
AACGAACGCUGGCGGCAUGCCUAAUACAUGCAAGUCGAACGCCUGUAGCAAUACAGGAGUGGCGGACGGGUGCGUAACGCGUGGGAACCUGCCCCUUGGUACGGGACAACUCCGGGAAACCGGGGCUAAUACCGUAUAAGGCCUGAGGGCGAAAGAUUUAUCGCCGAGGGAUGGGCCCGCGUCCGAUUAGGUAGUUGGUGGGGUAACGGCCCACCAAGCCGACGAUCGGUAGCUGGUCUGAGAGGACGGCCAGCCACACUGGGACUGAGACACGGCCCAGACUCCUACGGGAGGCAGCAGUAGGGAAUCUUGGACAAUGGGGGCAACCCUGAUCCAGCGAUGCCGCGUGGGUGAUGAAGGCCUUCGGGUUGUAAAGCCCUUUCGGCGGGGACGAUAGUGACGGUACCCGCAGAAGAAGCCUCGGCUAACUCCGUGCCAGCCGCCGCGGUAAUAC